AUGCUUUACACUUGGACUAACGGUAACUCGACUUAGGGCAGUGAUUUUCACGGACUACUAGCUAAUAUAAAUCGGUGUGUAUCCGAUUUACCAACCGUAAUUUUUUUUGUGAACAUUCUUUAAUUAUGGAAACGCUUCGCCUUAGAUUUCCACCCUUUUCUCCAACAAAACCAGGGCAGGUAACAGCAGGGCUCGGCAAAACAGAUAUGACUAGUUAGCUACGGCACGCCCCUUUUGAGCUUCGUGCCUAUGGCGACACGAAGCUAGGAGGGUCCAAGUCGUCAGCGGCCACAUUCCAUGUGUGUCGACGGCAAGCAAAUGAAAAGACCAAGGAUUCCGUUACAUUGUGUUACAUACGGUUAAAACCAUCGCCGUGCAAUAACAACAACGGAGCUGGGAGUAACCUAUAAAUGUAAAACAUAAUAAUAAUACAUACAUUGAUGAUAUACUUUAUUGAUAGCACACGUUUUGGCGUUGACAAAAAAAGUAAAUCUCGUGAUACUUGGUUGAGAAAUGAGGAAGUUACAGUUUAAUUUCAAUGUCCAUGUAUUACCUUUAUUGGGAACCUCGACCGUCCCAACAUGGCCGCCAUGUGGUCACGUUGGGGCGCCUGGCUGAUACAACGCGCUGGCCUAUCUCGUUUUAUUAAAUGUGCUUGAAUGUGACGUCACGCCGCGUUGUACAUUAGCGUUAUCGCCAUGUUGCCUGCAACUACCGGUCUCCUGUUUACAACUGAAGAUGUUUGAAGUUUGAAUGGGUGUUCUGGCCUGUGUACCAAAAAACAGACUGCAAGAGUCCUGUCACCUUUUCAUCUUAUCAUGACUCUAAUGGCCCAGUUUGCCAAUGCAACACUGUCCACAUCAAUCAUGUUGAUAGAAAAACUGUUUCCAACACAUUAAGUGACAUCAUAAAUGUACAUAGCCCCCCUGGUGCAACAUAGGUAAUACUGUCCUACUGCUUUAUGAAUGCUUUUUAUUUGCGAUGCACUGAAUUUUCUGCCGAAGAUAUCCCCUAAGUGCAUUUUUGGUUUCGGACCGACAGACUUUUGUCACUGAAAUAAAAGGGCCAAAACACGAUGUUGUCAUGACGCAGGCAAAAACAGUGGCCAGUACCCAGUAGUGUACACUAUAGUGUAAUGAUAUUCAAAUAGAAUAGAAUAUAAAAAUAAGAUGAAAAGAUAACCACAAUGGGGAAAUUUGCAUCGUGGCUGCAACCCUGUCCGCCAUUACAGGGUUGCUGCAAUAAAUCCAUUAAAAUGACAAAUAUUGAAGCCAUAAUGUAUUAACUUUUGUUAUUACGAUUAUAGAGUAAUGAUUAUCUUGUGCAAUUGAACAGUGUGCAGAAUUAUUUUUUAUCCUAUUACACAAUAUACUGCAAUAACUCUCCCACAGUAAUAUCGUUGACAUAGUUUAAAAAAUAUGGAAAUUCAGACAUAUUGGCCCCGGGAGUGAAUUUGCAUAAAUUGGCAGCUGUCCAUUCCUGGUCAUGAAUGCAAUUGUACAGAUAAUUGGCAUGGUAAUUUCUUUCAGCUGUCGGCCUUGGGCAUAGGAUGUGUUAUUAUCUGACAGCCGCCUUUAUUGACUUAUUUUUGUCAGAAUCAUAUUAAUGAAUAAUAUCUGAGAAUGUUACUAUAUACAUAGCUUAACUGAACUUUUGAAACAGAUUGUCAAAAAGCUCCAUGUGGCUGUGUCCAAAUGACAGCGUUGGUAUUUUUCUGGUUUUAUCAUGUUCAGGUCUUGCACCCACCCUUUGGUAAACUGCACAUUAGAGCCUAACGACUUACGUGUUUUUAACUGCUCUGAAGUGUAGGCACUCAAUCCACACACAACGUAAGCGAAACCACCUGCUGUGCACGUUACAACGGAGGCUGGAGGUCCGCUGCUCCACGCUAUAUUAGGGAUUUAGUACGGAUUUAGAAUGUUUAUUUUUGUCAGAUAUCGGUCUGCGGCUGCCUUUCUGGAAUUUUAAAAGCGAUGACGACACAGCGAGGGCAAAGCCUUUGUUUACUUUCUCCUCGCCGUCAACAUGUCUGCCACAACCCACAAUGCAAAGCGGUUCCCAAGUCCUAUUGCAAUGUUUGAAAUCGCUUGUUGUUGGCGUCGCAGAAAGACAAACCUGCAGCGUUGGGGAGUUUGCACUGACUUUGUAUUGAAUCUGUCCGUUAAGCCAGAUAAGGUUAAUGUUUUGGUUCUUCUGGCAAAGAAAUUGACACCUGACUGUUCAAUUCUAAUGUUCUGUUUCUUUAAAAUGCCCUGUAAAGAAACACGAUUCCACCGUGCUCGUUUUAUUCGCUAUGGUUUCUAAGUGACUCCUAAUUACAGUUUUCAUUUUUAAUAUUUAUUUAAAACUUGAUUUCUUUUGUAUUAUCGGCAUACAGUCUGCAAUAAGAGGCCCAAGCACAGGCCAAGUUCCUCACACUGUUUUUUUUUUUUUUUUUUAAUCCUUAUAGAAGCGCCGGUCAUCAUUUUAUCAUUACUGUGUUUUUCAAUGAAAAAUUAUACUGGAUAUCUUCUAAGCAUUCAUUUUGUUCAAAAGAUAAUGAGGAUAUUUUUACAGAUCAUAGUCGGCGCUCUCCAGAGCCGACCACGAAACAUUUUUAUGAGUUGUUUCUUUAAAUAAUGUGUGUGCUCGGUAUUUCUAUUUAUUAUUUUUCUGUGCCUUGCCUUGGUAACUACUGUUUGUAUAUUCCGAGCAAUUCUUUCAGUGCUUUCAUUUUGUGUUUGAAUGUGCUCUGUGUUUUGGCCUGUCUUUCUCUUUAAAUUAGACCGCCUCCACCUUUCUAUUCCGUGGCACCUGUUCCCCACCAGAAAGGUAUAUGUCUCAUAUAUUAGCCCCAUAGUUGUUAUCAGAGUUAUUGAGGGCCCUUCCUUUGCUGAUUGAUUGCCAGUUCUGCCUGUUUGGUUUUCUGUCCCUGGGUUGUCUGUCUGUGAAGUAUGGCAAAAGCACCCCCCUACUGGACAUUGAGGCGAAAAUCAAGGGCAAGAGUUAAUCAACACUCGGAGUCCAUCCAGUCUAGUUCAACGUCCGGCAGUACAACUGAAGAAGUACGUGUUGACGCUAAGAAUGAAUUUGCUGCUGAUGUUGAGGACCACUUCACGGACUGUGAAUCCUCCUUUGCCGAGGCUGUGGAGUUUGACGAAUCUUCCGAUUCUGAUAACAACUGCUUGACUUUGGAAGAUGAGGGGAGUCUUUUGGGAGCUAAUUUGACAACGUGGGCAGUGGACGAAAAUAUAACACACAGUUCUUUGAACAAACCUCUGAAAAUUCUGAAGUGCUAUCGUCCAACUGCUGUGAGUGAUGGACUGGGCACUUUUCAACGUCCGAGAUCUCGCCUUUCUAACACCCAUCAAAUCAUCCCAAGUAACUGCACAGCAGUUGAAAGGUUCAUUCUCGAACAAUUGGGAGAACUUCACCUCAAAGUGGACCGCUUAACAGCUACCCUACAGUCACUCAGUCCAAAGUGAGCUCCUGACCGACCACCCAGGAGCAAUGACUAUGGCAAGAGCCUCCCCAUUUCCACAUUGGAGGAGCUGUGCAACUUCGAUGAGAGACUUUGUCGGGACAGAAAUUUUAAGAAACAUGAGAUCACAAAGCUGUCCAUAACUGGGGGAACAUCUGUUAAAAAAAACUGUGUGGCGAGUGUGCAGCAAGGUCUUUGCACCUGAGUUUGCUACUCAGUUAAAUUGGUGUGGGAGAGGACAGAAGACUGGCAUCAAAUCCCGACCACUACAUGAAAUUCUAGUGUUGUCAGUUUUUAAAAAUGGACUCCUGAGGAACGUUACAGAGGCUGAGGUCGAGGCUGCCAUACAAAAUUGGCUCAGGCUGAGCCAAGACAGAAUUGGAGGACGACGGAGGAGGGAGAGACCAUCAAAGACGGAAGAACCAUAGCUGUAAAGAAAGAUGACUCACUCAUGAAAAUACAAUAACAAAUUUCUCACAGCCUUAGUUGUUUUCCUCGUCUUCUAACCUGACACCUCAAGGCUUGGUCGAUCCUUUUGCUUAUUGUUUUUAAUUUGGACUCCCGCCUCCUCAGAAAAGGGAGCACUAAAUCUCUUCACAAGUUGAUGUGUACGGUGAGUAAGUGGUGGGGGGCCUGAAAAUAGUUUCACCUGUCAAAGCCACGAGAACAUGGCAGAAAGAGUUUGGGAACUGUUUUUCAGUCAGUAUAUCUCAAGCAAGGGGACUUAAGAGCAUGACCGGCAAAACUAGAAAGCACUCGGAAAGUACUGACCUCGGCCAAAGCAACUGAACAGAGUCAGGCAGCCUUUCCAGAAGGACAGACAGACAGACAAAAUUGUAAACUAUAUAAAAAUAGACUUUAGUCCCCAGAUAGAGAAGCUCUUUUACACACGAUGGACGGCGGUGUUUUGUCAACUGCGAGCUCCUGAGGGAGAAGCCACAGCUCAUCUUUUUAAAGAAGUUGUACACCGUAGUGCUGCAAAUAAAUGAUUUAUCAUCACAGUAACUUCUUCCCUUGCUUGUUACGUAUACAGUGACUGGAUUAGAUUUUGGAACGAAAUCCUUUUCAAAAUACCAGUAGAUAUUUUUUUAAUGACGACCAUGAGAUGGACAUGUGAUUUGAAUGAUGAAACUUUCACGAUGAUGUGAGAUUUCGAAGUGAUGUGUUAAUAGUCUUUUU